GGGUACCGUGGAUUCACGUGAGAGGAGGGUCCGGCAGAGGGACAGAGAGCGGAGAGGUGGAGGGGGCCUCCUAGCCAUUGAGAAGAAGUCGGCUUUUGGCCCCAGUGAGGUGAGGCCGAGGGAGAAGUCUGCGGCGAGGACGGGAGCGGGUGGAGGGCGGACGCGGUGAGAGCGGGUGGACGCUGCUGCGAUAGCCCAGCGAGAGGCCGGCGGCAGCCUGGAGGUGGCGAGGCUGCUUGGGUUGGGCAGAUAUUCCAGAGGCAGGGCCCACGGGAUCUCCCGGUGGAGCAGGCUAGCAGCGGAAGAGGAAUAGGAGCUGGGCAUAACCUCGGCCUUUGAUCUGAGCACCUGGGAGCAUGGCCCUGAGGCCGCCCGCGAUGGGGAAGGGAACAGGGAGCGCCCUGGGGUGGGGCGCCCAGGAAUUCUGUCCGGGGCACGGUCGGCUGCGUUUUCGUGAGGAGGCCAGAAGAGCUGUCGCGGCGGCAAGACCCCAGCGUGGGCCCCGUGGGCAUCCCGCCGAGGUGCUGGGUGAGGCCACCGGGGAGGGAGGACGGCCAAGUUCCGGGCCACCAAGGACGAGCAGCCGGAGGUGGGGACGGGCCUUGACGAGAUGAGCUCUGGGGGAGAAGCCUGACCCGAGAGGGUCUGGGGAGGGAGUGGACAGGGAGGGCGCGCAGACACCUCCGGGGUUAGCUGGGGAGGAACAAAGAAAUGGUGGUGCCUCGGAGGUGAUGCGCGAUCAGAGGGUUUUGGGGUUGGGGUUUCUAGUUUGCAGGAAUGACACGUGUACAAGCCGGCGGGCGGCCGCUGCGAACCGGGUUCUGCGGUGAGCGGGGCGCCGGGGCUCGGCCUGGGGCCACCUCCGCCUGGGGACGUCGUGGAGAAGCCGGGCUCCAGGGCCCCAGCCCCGGCCGCCAGGCGCCAUCGCAGGCGGGGCAGGGAGCCGGGGGUCCCCGGCAGCGGCGCGCGGGCGUGGGCGGCCGCACCCACUCCGGCCCGGGCCGCACGGCCGCCCGCACUUGCCCUCUGGCGGCGGAAGCGCGCAGCGCGUGUCGAGCAGGGAACCUGGACCCGUUCAGCUUCCGUUCCCAGUGCAAGUGUCUUUUGCUGCUGACCGACCUCAGACCCGGCCCUCCUGGAGAUCUCCUCUCCCUCGGGAUCCCUGUGGCCUCCUACCCAGUUCCCACGUAGCCUGACCCACCAGGACCAGGUUGGGAGCUUUAUGAAUUUUAACACGUUAGGAUAGCCGUCACUACAACAGGAUACAAAAUGUUUCCAUCGCCCCAAAAAACUCCCUCCUGCUGGGGCUUUAUAGGCACAGCCCCCCGUCUGAGCCCCGGCAGCCACCGCUCUGCCCUCCGUCACCACAGCUCUACCUUUUGGAAUGUCGUACAAAUGGAACCAGACUGUGCGACCUUGGGGACCAGCUUCUUUCACUCAGCGCGAUGUCUUCGAGAUUCAUCUGGGUGGUUGUGUGAUCAAUAGUUUGUGUCUUUCCGCAACUCCCCAGUGUUUCCUGGUGUAGAUGGCCACAGUCUGUCUGCCCAUUCAUCCAUGAAAACAUAUUUGGGUUCUUUCCAGCUC
ensembl:lncRNA